CCCAAACCUAAAGUCUAUAGCUUGGGAAGUUUUGAAAAGCUGCGGAUUCAGUCAUUCACCUCUCCCUUGCUUAAGGACUUGAUAAUGCCCCAUUGUCUUAAGGAUGACAUCACAGACUCCCACUUAGAAGCUCUUCCCAUCUGUCAUCAACCCCUGGCUUCUGAUUUAUCAUCUUCUUCUGCUCUGGGAAGAGGGGAGAUACCUGCCUACCGGAUACAGAAGAAUGUUUUGGACUAACUGGCAUGUGUUUUCAAAAGCCUGCAGCUUUCUGACAUAUAUAUACCCUGCUCCUCUCAGUUUCUGUGUCAAGAUCACAGCUCUAAGCUCUAAACUCUUUGCGGGCAGACAUUGUGUAAUUUAUCAGGGUAUCAGCCAAAUGUUGUGAAUGAAUACACAUAAAUGAGAUAUUCAGCAUAUUCACUUUCCUACCUGAUGGGAUACUGGCUGAAUGAUUGACAGACGGGCUGGUGCGUGGACCCAGGCGGCGCGCUCAGGGCUGGGCAGACGUGAUUAUCAUCGCCCCUGCUGUAGUCCAUCAGAGCCGGGUGUUAGCAGGUUUCCACCGUUGUGCACCGACACGGAUCCACUAUUCCAAUGUCGUCCAACCAGAUUUCCAGUUCACAAGGUAGUGAAACAAGAAGAUUAGAAGGUGUGCUUUUGAAACAUCUAACUGCACUGAGCCAAGUUAAAUAAACUAAAACUCAACCCAAAACUUAGGAGCUUAUUCUUCACGGUUGCUUCCAAACAGAAAAGCGAUAUAGUAAAAAUUAAGAAGUCUUUUCUUUGAAAAUUGUAGUUAUUUUGAUAAACAGUGCUGUCCAAGCAGCAAAUGUGAGAGCCACACUCUGUACCUCAUUCUCUUUGUGCCCUGCUCUCGGGGUUUGGUGUGAAUACUUCAUAGUUAAACUAUGUCUUCCCCUGAGGA